AUGUUCUCACUUGUUCAGUUCCUCUGCGACAGUUGAUGAAGUGUUCAAUAUGGAGUCCGAAGGAGUGAUAGAAGUUGCCGCUUUAGGGAGACCCUUUCAGCUGGGGAUGCUCUACGACUGCAGGAAAGAUGCUCUCGUGCCAGGAAUCACGUUGUGGAAUGAAGAAAAGCUCAAGCUGAGUAUUCGAUCUCAUGAUCAAAUUAAUACAGAUUUCAAAGUUACAGCUUCAGACUCAAUUGAAGUAAAAUCAAACUUAUUGAACAUUGAAGGCUCUAUGAAAUUGAGUUUGUUGGGUGGAUUGAUCAACGUAACCGGUGCAGCCAAAUAUCUCAAUGACACCAAGAAGUCUUUCAUUCAGAAGAGAUUGACUUUACAUUAUCAUUCAACUACCAGGUUUGAACAACUGAGCAUGAACCAUUUAGCAUCUGAAAAUAUAGCUCACCAUGAAGUGUUUGAUCACGAUACAGCGACACACGUGGUGACGGCAGUAAGGUAUGGGGCAGAAGCUUGCUUUGUGUUCGACAGAGAGGUUUCUUUAGACGAGAACAAAACUACAGUGGAAGGAGAAGUGAAGGCAGUGUUUGACAAACUCAAAAUCAUUACUGCAGAUGUAGGAGCAAAUCUAAACAUGAAUGAGGUUCAGAAGAAUGCGGUGCAAAAAUUCAGUGUCACUUUCUAUGGUGAUUUUCAGUUGCCGUCUAAUCCAACUUCAUUUGAAGAUGCUUUGAAGGUUUACGCUGAACUUCCGAAACUGCUGGGAGAAAACAAAGAUCAGGUGGUUCCACUGAGAGUGUGGCUGUAUCCUCUGAGCAAACUUAACUCGAGAGCUUUAAAACUUCUGAAGGAAAUCAGCAGUGAUCUAAUCAGUGACAUAGAAUCAGCAUUAGAGAGUUUAAAUACAACUGAGAUGAAAUGCAGUGAUCUUCUGAAAGACUCUCCUGCUUCAGCUUUAACUUCAUUUCAAAAUAAAAUACUGCAGAUGAAGCAGAACUGUAACAAAUACAAGUUGAGUCUCAUGAAGAAACUCGGCUCUCUGUUGCCUCAGAUCCGUGGAGAUAAGAUUGAAGACACAGCACUGAUAGAUCUACUGAAAGAUCAUCAUGAAUCUCCAUUCAGAGAAAGUGAGCUUGCAGAAUGGCUGAAGGCGAGGGAGGAAGAGUCAGAGAUCAUUAAAACACUUCUCAGACAGCUGAUUGAUUCUGGUGCAAAGGUAGAAAACAACCUGCGUGCAAUCUUGAUGGAUCUAGAUGUUGAAAAUGUUGUCAGCUACACAUUCACAUCAUUGGACUGGUCAGAUGUGCUCCUUCCUAAACAAUUGACCUAUCUAAGAUCUUCAACAAUGAGAAAUGACACUGACUCCAAGAAGGAAACAUCAUGGCUCACGCCUGCCAUCCACAAGACUAUGAGGAGAAACUUGGAGAUGUUUAAGAGCUUGAUUGAUUCAAAAGACCGCAAACCAGCCAAGUUUAUUGUGUCAUCAAAACAAAUGGAGGAUCAUCCAGGUUCCUGCAUUCUCCUGUAUGAAGGUGGAUGUGUUGAAGCUGUUUGCUUAACUCCUCCAUCACAGCCGGCUCGUCCAAUCACAGCAGAGGUUAAAGGUGACAGUGUGGUUAUUGUGAUCCCCUCAUCAUGUCCUGCUACAGAGGAACUCAAGUUACUCUACAAAAUAAAUCAAGAGAAGAUCUGGACAUCUCAACCUGUGCUAAAGGACCAAAAUACUGUAACUCUGACUGAUCUGAGACCAGGCACUGAAUAUGAGAUUAAAUGUGCAGCGGUGGGGAAACUCAACUACACCACUGAAUCUGAUGUAAUCAGAGUUAAAACUGAGGGGAGGAACCAACCUGUGGUGUUCAGUAUGGAGUCAGUAGGAGUGAAUGUGAUAGAAGUUGCUGCAUUAGGGAGACCCUUUCAGCUGGGGAUGCUCUACGACUGCAGGAAAGAUGCUCUCGUGCCAGGAAUCACGUUGUGGAAUGAAGAAAAGCUCAAGCAGAGUAUUCAAUCUCGUCCCCAAAUUAAUUUAAAAUUAACAGAUUUCAAAGUUACAGCUUCAGACUCUAUUGAAGAAAAAUCAAACUUAUUGAACAUUGAAGCGUCUAUGAAAUUGAGUUUGUUGGGUGGAUUGAUCAACGUAACCGGUGCAGCCAAAUAUAUCAAUGACAUCAAGAAGUCUUUCAUUCAGCAGAGACUGACUCUACGUUUUCAUUCAACUACCAGGUUUGAAGAGCUGAGCAUGAACCAUUUAGCAUCUGAAAAUAUAGCUCACCAUGAGGUGUUUGAUCACGAUACAGCAACACACGUGGUGACGGCAGUGCUGUAUGGAGCUGACGCCUGCUUUGUGUUCGACAGAGAGGUUUCUUCAGAUGAGAACAAAACUACAGUGGAAGGAGAAGUGAAGGCAGUAUAUGAAAAACUCAAAGUUAUUACAGUAGAUGUAAAAGCAAAUCUUGACAUGAAUGACUUUCAGAAGAAUGCGGUGCAAAAAUUCAGUGUCACUUUCUAUGGUGAUUUUCAGUUGCCGUCUAAUCCGACUUCAUUUGAAGAUGCUUUGAAGGUUUACGCUGAACUUCCCAAACUUCUGGGAGGAAACAGAGAUCUUGUGGUUCCACUGAGAGUGUGGCUGUAUCCUCUGAGCAAACUUAACUCGAGAGCUUCAAAACUUCUGAAGGAAAUCAGCAUUGAUUUAAUCAGUGACAUAGAAUCAGCAUUAGAGAGUUUAAAUACAACUGAGAUGAAAUGCAGUGAUCUUCUGAAAGACUCUCCUGCUUCAGCUUUAACUUCAUUUCAAAAUAAAAUACUGCAGAUGAAGCAGAACUGUAACAAAUACAAGUUGAGUCUCAUGAAAAAACUCGGCUCUAUGUUGCCUCAGAUCCGUGGAGAUAAGAUUGAAGACUCAGCACUGAUAGAUCUACUGAAAGAUCAUCAUGAAUCUCCAUUCAGAGAAAGUGAGCUUGAAGAAUGGAUCAAAAUGAGAGAGAAAGAGUCAGCGAUCAUUAAAACGUUGCUCAGACAGCUGAUUGAUUCUGGUGCAAGGGUAAAAGACAACCUAGAGACAAACUUGGUGGAUGUAGAUGUUGAAAAUGUUGUCAGCUACACAUUCACAUCAUUGGACUGGUCAGAUGUGCUCCUUCCUAAACAAAUUACCUACUUAGAACCUUCAACAAUGAGAAAUAAAAAUGACCCUGACUCAAAGAAGGAAACAUCAUGGCUCACAGAUGCCAUCCACAAGACUAUGAGGAGCAACUUGGAGAUGUUUAAGAGCUUGAUUGAUUUAAAAGAUCGUAAACCAGCCAAGUUUAUUGUGUCAUUAAAACAAAUGGAGGAUCAUCCAGGUUCCUGCAUUCUCCUGUAUGAAGGUGGAUGUGUUGAAGCUGUUUGCUUCACUCCUCCAUCACAGCCGGCUCGUCCAAUCACAGCAGAGGUUAAAGGUGACAGUGUGGUUAUUGUGAUGCCCUCAUCAUGUCCUGCUACAGAGGAACUCAAGUUACUCUACAAAAUAAAUCAAGAGAAGAUCUGGACAUCUCAACCUGUGCUAAAGGACCAACAUACUGUAACUCUGACUGAUCUGAGACCAGGCACUGAAUAUGAAAUUAAAUGUGCAGCGGUGGGGAAACUCAACUACACCACUGAAUCUGAUGUGAUCAGAGUUAAAACCGAGGGGAGGAUCCGUCCCUUUAUGGGAUAUUGCGUUUUGAACUGUGAUGGAGAGAGCAGCUUUUUGAAUGCACUUCUGCAAACCCUCUAUAUGACUAAAGAAUACAGAGAACAUGUUAUGAGACUGAACACAGGUGAUGGGUCUACUGAGGAUAAGUUAAUUAAAGAGUUAAAGGUGUUGUUCGAAAGGUUGGGCAAAGGGCAGGGGCCGGUCUCAACACAAUCAACUCAAGACACAGUUCACAAGACCUUUGCAUAUGUCUGGUUUCAGAUACUUAGAGAUGAAGAUGAUUACCCAGCAGAAUGCCUGUGGAAGAUACUUCAGGUGACUCGCUCAUCUGAGAUUUUUAUGUGCGAUGGGAACCUUGAUACACCAUGUUAUUCAUGCAGAACUCUUUCAAUAACUGGAAUCAUCUCAGUCACUUUUGAAGAAUUUCAAGAUGUGGAAGAUUCUCUACAGAUAAGAGAAGGACACAUCCAGCAGUUCUGUUCUGACUGUAAUAAACCUCUGGGGACGAAACAUGAGAUCAACUCACAAAAAAUACUGAUUGUACGUUUGAGGAGAUUCAAAGAAGGAACAGUGGAGAAAAAUGAACUGGAAGUGAUCAUUCGUCCUCAUUUGAAGAUUUCCUCUCAUGAGUUUGAGCUCUAUGCCAUAAUAAAUUACUAUGGCUCAAAACAAAGUGGACACUAUAAUGUAGACAUCAAAUGUGAAAAUCAACAAUGGUUUCGCUUUGAUGAAAUCCAAGUGUGUGAGAGUUUUUUGAACAAUCUUUCACAAAGAAACGAGAACUUUGUUUACAGGUCUUCAAGUGCUUAUAUGCUCUUCUACAGACCCAAUAAACACAUGUUUCAGUAAAGAGACUUUCACAGAAGAAUCUGGAGUUUGUUGUUGAACAUAAACCAAUUAAUAAAUGCAGUCGUGUGAAUCGCUCAUGAAAGAAGAUGAAGGUCUUGACUGCCUGGACUUCAGAUGAAAUCUAGAAGAUUUAAAACAUUCACAAAAUGCAUCUCAACAUAUAUUCACAGAUGCUUUACAUUGCAUGCCUUUAAGUAUUAUUGAGUUGACAUUAUUUUUACAAAUUACCUUAAAAACAUAAUCUGUGUGUUAAAUCAAAACAUUCAUACAUUGUGUUUAAUGUUUAACAAAUGUAGGUUAUAGCAGUGCAUUAUAGACUAAUCACUUUUCAUAAAAUACACAUUAUAAUCAACAUUAUAGAUCAAAUAUAUUGAAUGUCAUUGAGUUUUCAAAUGAUUAGUUGGUUGCUUAGUAAUAAUAAUAAAAUAUAUAGUAAUAAUUUAGUAAAUGAACACAUACAUGUAAUCAGCUGGUGGUAUUUCUCUUUAAAUUGAGACUUUAAAACUGAUGAACAAAAUUUAAAAUGAAAUAAAAAUGUGCUCUUGAGAUACUUUGAUAUCUUAAACCGCUCAGUCUACUGCAGUGAAGUCAAACAUCUAUGUUUUUAUACCAGCAAAAGCAGAGACUGAGUAUAACCUAAACAUGACACCAUUGACAAGCGACCCUAUGAAGAGAGGUGAAGAUUCUCAAGUAAAUAAUGUUUUUAUUAUUGUGUUUUUGUUAGUUUAUUCCUAAUCAUUUAUUUACAUUAUCAUUUUAUAAUCAUUAAUUAUCCAAAUAAUUGUUAAUUUGAUUAUUCAAUAUUCUUUUUUUAUUAUUAUCAAUUUUAUUAUUAUCAUUUUUAUCAUUAUAUUAUUGUUUAUUCAUUUAUUCAUUCAUUAUUAUAUUUCUAUAUUCUAUUCAUUUAUAUUGCGUUUACAUUCAUUCAUUCAUUCAUUCAUUCAUUAUAUUUCUAUAUUUUAUUCAUUUAUAUUGUCUUUUCAUUUAUUCAUUCAUUCAUUAUAUUUUAUAUGUCUUAUUGAUUUCAUUGUCGUUCAGUCUUAUAGUUGUCUCACAUUUGUGAAGUUUCAUGAGCUGUCCUGUCUGUGUAAACAGAGAUAGAUAAAGAGAAUGUUUAUGGAAGCUCAAGGUUUGUGGGAUGUUGCUGUUAAGCAAUUUUGCUGUAACAGUGCUGAAUUCAUGCGGGGUUAGACCAGGUUUGUACAUUGAGACAUAUGCAACUGAAACUAUCCAUCAUUAAAACUCUUUUCUAUUUUAUCAUCAAAACCUUUGUCUCAUG